AUUGAACGCUGGCGGAAUGCUUUACACAUGCAAGUCGAACGGCAGCACGGACUUCGGUCUGGUGGCGAGUGGCGAACGGGUGAGUAAUACAUCGGAACGUGCCCAGUCGUGGGGGAUAACGUAGCGAAAGCUACGCUAAUACCGCAUACGAUCUAAGGAUGAAAGCGGGGGACCGUAAGGCCUCGCGCGAUUGGAGCGGCCGAUGGCAGAUUAGGUAGUUGGUGGGGUAAAGGCUCACCAAGCCGACGAUCUGUAGCUGGUCUGAGAGGACGACCAGCCACACUGGGACUGAGACACGGCCCAGACUCCUACGGGGGGCAGCAGUGGGGAAUUUUGGACAAUGGGCGCAAGCCUGAUCCAGCCAUUCCGCGUGCAGGAUGAAGGCCCUCGGGUUGUAAACUGCUUUUGUACGGAACGAAAAGGCUCUGGUUAAUACCUGGGGCUCAUGACGGUACCGUAAGAAUAAGCACCGGCUAACUACGUGCCAGCAGCCGCCGUAAUAC
rnacentral:rRNA from 1 species